CGCGUAGGCGGUAUGGACAGUCAGAUGUGAAAUUCCUGGGCUUAACCUGGGGGCUGCAUUUGAUACGUCCAAACUAGAGUGUGAGAGAGGGUUGUGGAAUUCCCAGUGUAGAGGUGAAAUUCGUAGAUAUUGGGAAGAACACCGGUGGCGAAGGCGGCAACCUGGCUCAUAACUGACGCUGAGGCGCGAAAGCGUGGGGAGCAAACA
rnacentral:rRNA from 1 species